GGGCGGUUAACUCAGCGGUAGAGUGUCACCUUCACACGGUGGAAGUCGUUGGUUCAAACCCAAUACCGCCCACCA
rnacentral:tRNA from 1 species